rnacentral:rRNA from 1 species
CCUACGGGAGGCAGCAGUGGGGAAUAUUGGACAAUGGGCGAAAGCCUGAUCCAGCCAUGCCGCGUGUGUGAAGAAGGCCUUCGGGUUGUAAAGCACUUUCAGUGGGGAAGAAAGCCUUGGGGCUAAUACCCUCGAGGAAGGACAUCACCCACAGAAGAAGCACCGGCUAACUCCGUGCCAGCAGCCGCGGUAAUACGGAGGGUGCGAGCGUUAAUCGGAAUUACUGGGCGUAAAGCGCGCGUAGGCGGUCUGAUAAGCCGGUUGUGAAAGCCCCGGGCUCAACCUGGGAACGGCAUCCGGAACUGUCAGGCUAGAGUGCAGGAGAGGAAGGUAGAAUUCCCGGUCUAGCGGUGAAAUGCGUAGAGAUCGGGAGGAAUACCAGUGGCGAAGGCGGCCUUCUGGACUGACACUGACGCUGAGGUGCGAAAGCGUGGGUAGCAAACAGGAUUAGAUACCCUUGUAGUC